rnacentral:tRNA from 2 species
AGCAACUUGACGCAGUGGAAGCGUGCAGGGCUCAUAUUCGCAUGGAACCCUGAAGUCCCUAGAUCGAAACUAGGAGUUGCUA